rnacentral:rRNA from 1 species
AUGCUUUAUCUUUUUAGGAGGAAGCGUGCAGGUGAGCCCCUUCUUGUUGAAGAGUGCUGGCCAAAGAAAACGGCAAGAGGCAAUGGCUCUAGAAGAAAGAGAAGUUUUCGUGAAACAAUACACAUUCAACCAGACUUGGAUGGUGUGGUGCAAAAUGAGCAAGACUUGGAUGUGCUGCUGCAAGAUGAGCAAGAUUUUGAUGUUCUGGUGCCAACUGAAGAUAUGGGUACCUCUGAAGAUAUUCAUGCUGAUGUUGUGCAAGCUGAGCCUAUGUUGGAAGUUGAGUUGCCAACUGAAGUUAUUCCAGCUGAUGUGGUGCCAACUGAGCCUAUAUUGGAAGUUGUGUUGCCAACUGGUGAUAUUGGGUCCGAUGAUACUGCAACUGUUGUGGUGCGAAAGGAAGCUUGUGUUCCAGGCAGUCCAGUGAAGAAAAUCAAGGGCUUGAGUGAACUGGGUGUUGUACAACCAAAAACAAGCAUUGGUAAAAAGAAGAAGAAGAAAUCGAGUGGUAGGAAGAAGUAG